CAGUAGCCGCGGUAAUACGAAGGGGGCUAGCGUUGUUCGGAUUUACUGGGCGUAAAGCGCACGUAGGCGGACUUUUAAGUCAGGGGUGAAAUCCCGGGGCUCAACCCCGGAACUGCCUUUGAUACUGGGAGUCUUGAGUUCGAGAGAGGUGAGUGGAAUUGCGAGUGUAGAGGUGAUAUUCGUAGGUAUUCGGAAGAACACCAGUGGCGAAGGCGGCUCACUGGACGCGUAUUUACGCUGAGGUACGAAAGCGUGGGGAGCAAACAGGAUUAGAUACCCCUGUAGUCCCUGUCUCUUAUAC
rnacentral:rRNA from 1 species